AAAUUAUUUGCAUAAUUUAAGAUGCUCAAUCUUCAAAACUUUUUUUAAAAGGAACAGAAUGUAGAGAUAGCUGCAAUUUCACUUCAGAGAACCAAAAGGAUAGCUAUGUGGGUUGUUCCUAUUAU
rnacentral:miRNA from 1 species